UACGUAGGUGACAAGCGUUGUCCGGAUUUACUGGGCGUAAAGAGCGCGCAGGCGGUCGAUCAAGUCGAGUGUGAAAGCCCCCGGCUCAACUGGGGAGGGUCAUUCGAUACUGAUCGACUCGAAGGCAGGAGAGGGUAGUGGAAUUCCCGGUGUAGUGGUGAAAUGCGUAGAUAUCGGGAGGAACACCAGUGGCGAAGGCGACUACCUGGCCUGUUCUUGACGCUGAGGCGCGAAGGCUAGGGGAGCGAACGGG
rnacentral:rRNA from 1 species